ACAAUGUAUCUGUUAUAGCAAGGUAAUUUGUAAAAUCACAAGGGCCUUGUUUGACUGUACAUUGUAUCAUACAUUAAAUCAUGCCACUCCGUGUUUUCAUUGCAUUAAUGGCAUUUCAAAGUACAACUAAUGAAUUAGCAUUGCUACAUACCCGGACUGGGCUAUUGCCGUUAGUCUCUGCUGGAGGGUCUGGUCUCUGCUGAAAAAAAAAAAAUUAUGUCAAGGCAAAAAUGAUUUCACGUCUACAUUUUAGCCUCAAAUUUGAAAUCAUUCUCUCAGUAUAUCCCGUAUCUGCUCUUUUUAUGAAAGAACAAACCAAAAUGCUGCUUCCUAAUUGUUUCAGCAGGAUAUGGAAAUUAUCAAAAAUGGAAUAUUGUUGAGAAAAAAAUGGGUCACUUUGAGCUUUAAAAUGUGGAACAGUAUUUGUAAAGUGUGGAAUAUUUAUUUGUGAGAAAAUCUCAAUAUUUAAAAAUAAACAUCCCAAACGCCACAGAUAGUUUGAUGCACGAAAAAGCACAACUGAUAUUGUUUCUUAAUUCAUGUACAGUCGAACCCUGAUAAGAAGAAGCACUUUUGAGCAUUGUUCCUGUACACAAAUGUCUCCCUAUAAUUUUUGUUGAUACCAACUAAGCCUAAUAGGAACUCCAGGAAAUAUUCUUUUUAAAAGGAAAUGCCCAAUGCUUCCUCUAUUUAAAAACUCGAAGAGUCAAUACAAUCAGGGGUAAUAAAUACAUGUACUGUAUGCAAGCGUUCUCCGAUUUACUUACAAACAACUGCACCUGAUCAAUGGCCUCAUCUUCAUCCUCAUCAACGCAGAAUUGGGCAAUCACCGUAGCUUUCUUCUUCUCCUGAAAUGACAAACAAGAUAAAAAAUUGUUGUUUAUCUGACCACUUCCCAAUUCUAUUUCCAUAACGUUUACAUCACAGUUUCGGCUUCCCCUUUUAUUGCUUAACCAUUAAAAAAAAAAAUUAUUGUACAUUGAGUUUAGUAGAGAUAGCUAGCUUGGCUAGAGCUGUGGAUUUAUUAUUCACGAACAUUAGAAACCACAGAGUAAAUGCACAUCACAGUUACAUGUACAACUGUACUUUUUAAACUUUAGUAAGUGUGGACACUAGCAAAGUAUCUUGGAGUUUUAAAGUUAUUUCUGCGGGAAAUACCCUUAUGUGCAGUACUCCAAAAACGAACAUACAUGUACUUGAAUGAUAAAAAAAAACAAUCCUUGGUUGGUUUCUUCUUAGGUUGCGUCGUUGGUUUCUUCUUAGGUUGCGUCAUUGUUUUCGUCUUAGAUUGCGUCGUUGGUUUCUAUAAAAAAAAGGGAAUGAGCAACCCACUUAUUACAAAGUAGUGCUUUCAUUUGGGUUUAAGCAAGCACAUGUACAUGUAUUCACUCUUAUACAGGAAAACACAUUAAAAUCAAGCCAAGUUACAUAUUUUGCAUUGGAAAUUUGUUACUGCUUUGCAACACUCUUUCAAAAAAAAUAUUUUAAUACAAAUAUUAACAACUUUAAUUCACAAGUUUUUUUGUAGUGGGAUAAAAUAACACCUAACCUUUGUUUUGGAUUGCACAGCACUUUUGUAAUUUGAGCUCUUCGAGGUUUUCGCCUGGUGUUGAACUUGAACCUUGGGCUGGAAAAACAGUAUUCAUUAUUAUUGGCGAUGUAUGCGAAACGGGGCAAAUCGUACCCGAGUCAACUCGUACCUGAGACAACUCGUACCAGUCAAGUCGUACCCACCAGUACCACCUUGUACAUGUAUGAUGUAGUAGUAAUGUUAGAAGAUUAGGUUUUCCAAUACCUUUGAAAAUUUGAGGUGUGCAGCAGAUCUGAAGUGUGCGCAUUUUUCUUUUUUUUUGCUAUGCUAGCCGAUACAGCGUAGCGUGAAUUUAAGCUUGGCCGACAUUUGGCGUUUUGGGGUCGGUAUAUGGAAUAUUUAUGCUGUAAAAUUUCUGGAUUUUUUUUCUCAGAAAUGUUUAUGGCAUUAAUGAAUGUUUGCUAUAUGACAAAAGCUGAAAAACAACCUACCUUUGUUUUUAGGGACGCGUCAGUUGUAUGAGCAGAAUUCGUCCCUUGGCCCCCUGAUACUUUGCAUGUGCCUGCCUUGUCUUGGACCUGAGGUGGAAAAGAACCACGCGUCAAUCUCACUUAAUUUGUAAAAGAUUGCACCGUCAUUCAUAUGUUCUGCAUAUUAGACUGCACCAUCACCAAUUGAACAUACACAUUGUAGACCAGACCGGUCGUGCUUUAGCGUCGGCAAAUUGUUAAAAAAUAUGAAAGCACCAACAAGUUCAAUAACACGUCUAGAAGAUUCAGAGAAUCAAAAUAUUGUAAACUUUAAAAUAAUCGUAGGAACCUAUCGACACCUGUGCACAUUUUUUAGUAAAACUUAAAAGUCCUUGACAACUUGCACGUACAUGUACUUGGAUCACCACAAACCUUCCCUACUACAGUAGAUGAUCUUCUCCUGGAGCCGUAAAAGAAAGAGAUCAUUAUAAUACAAAUGGUUGCAAUAUUUACACUAAUCAAAACAUUGAACAGUGACACUCUUUUUCUUUGUAGGUACAUAAAAAGCAAGGGUCUAUCAGGGGGGCGGUAAACAACUCUGAUGACUUGGUUUUUCUCCCUUUGUUUUUUUUUUAGUUUUGAAAAUUUUGGAAACUUCUUGACGAUGGCUCUUUAUUGUCCCUAGCAGAGUUAGCCUCUCCUUGAGAAGGUCUUCAGCGAGUUCAGCACAGGUGAAGUAGUUAUCUGCUGUGACGUUGCCGCCACUCACUCUUGAAAAGCAGACAAACCAUGUCCAAAACAACACGUUUGCCCAGUUUUGUCUCCCGCCGGUUCUUCUUCUUGCCCAAAUAAGGCUGAGUGUUAGUGAUGUAAAUUAUCAGUAACAGUUGAACCUAAAUGUAAUCAAACAAAACCGGAUUAACUGGCAACAGAAAAAAAAAAUAUUGGGACCCAUAGAUCUCAAGCUGACAUAAAAUAUGAAAUCAAAAUAAUGGCAAUGGGAUAAAUAAUGGAAAAAACCUUGCAAACACAAGUACUGGAAGUUAUCUAGACAUCUAGGAAGUGGUUACAGAAAUACACGUUAACAUUUUUUUAAUGAGUCACAAAACAUGGGAAUAGAUGAAUAGAGGUGUGCUUCAUGCUGAGUUCUUGCACAAAGGUGAUUAAAAGUAAGUGUAUCCAUGUGACGGAUAUUAACGGAAGUAUUUGAGUUGAUUUUGCUUCAGUCAAUUAUGCCAAAUAAACAUUUAGUAGUAAAUUGAAUAACUAGUCUCUGUCGUCUAGAUUCCAGACUUUGCCAGUGCAGUUUCUGUAGUCUAUCCUAAUACAGCAUUGCUCGUUUUUGCUGUUUGAGAAACAUCCUUGUUGCUCUCCUUCGGACCCGUUCAAGCUUAGAUGAUAAGGCUGCUGUGUUUGGACACCAGGCUGGCAACUGGUACUCAGGAACUGGUAUGACAAGUGACCAGUAUAAAGACAUCAUCAGUGUAGAGGUUUUGUAGAGGUUCCUCCAGCGGUAUGCCUUAUUCUUCUUAGCAUGGUCAGUGUACUGUUUAUUGUAAUGCCAAGGUACUUGCAGGUGGUAGCAACAGUUAAUGGAGAACUUUGGGAGGGCUAGAGUCUUUGUUGAUCUGGUCAUAUGCAUUACCUUGGAUUUGUUUGAAUUAAGUUUCAUCCCAUUUGACAUGCUCCACUGGCCGAGGGCGUCAAGGUCUGCUUGACUGAUUGACUGAUCAUUGAUUGAAAGGUUAUGGUUCUGUGGCGGACUCGGCAGUUGGGGGAAACCCACGGGGACUGGUCUCUGAUUUAUUCCAGUCUGCAACCAACACGUAUUAUUCCACCAAAAUAUUACAACUUUGAUCGCUGCCAUUCAUUCCUUCUGCGACUCGCGCCAGCAUCAUUUUCUUCAUCGCCAACGUACCUGCGAAUAACAAGCCUUACAGUAUUGACGCCAUCUUUGGAUAUGACUUAGUGAUGCCACAACACGAACGUAAAGCGCCCAGACUCUAUGCAAUACGCUCUUCUGAUUGGUCUACGUACACACCAUAAAUCUUAGUGCUCUAGACGCACACAAAUAAUUCUGCAUCUAUCCUGUUUGCCACACAAGACCCAGUUAACAGUGUUGGAGUCAAGACCUCAAAGUCCAAGACCAAGACCGAGACUUCCCCAUCCGAGACCGAGCCCGAGACCUCAUAGUCUGAGACCAAGACCUCAUAGUCCGAGACCGAGACCUUUUUAAAAAAAAAUCACACACAAUAUCUAGCAAGUUGUGUAUAUACGUGUUCACAUAUCAAUGUAAAUUUGAUGCCAAAACUCUUCAAAACUUAAAAAAAAAAAAAUAAUGCUAUACCAUGCCUUUAAAAAUAGCCAGGUACAUUUUGGCAAGAUUUUUUUAAUUGUUUGAUGUUCUAAUGGUUUGACUAAUUCAUACAGGUAUGUGCCCUCUGUCGCUCUUUGAAUAUUUCUAGAGUGCGACAGAACUGAAAUGCAAUGAAUGGGACAUGCCCGAUUGAAUUAGCCCAAUACAGGUUUAUCUCUUAUUCUGAUCAGGAUUUACUGUACUCAGCAAGUUGGUAGUAGUACUGAAGGUAAACUGACUAGUAAUUCUGCAGAAUGUCCUUAUUGCACUUCAAGAACAACAACUUUGUAAAGUUAUCUGCUGACUGUAGCCCUGUUUGGUCUCACUAUGAUUCCACAUCUGCCGAAGAUACAUUCCACAGGAGCACUGGAGGCAGGGACUUUUAGUGUUCUCAGGGCAAGUUUAAACAAUGUCGGGUAUCUGACACGAUUGUUUGUCCAAAACUGUAAGCAAUCAGAAGUCAGCUCGAGAUCAAUGACAUGACAAACAGUCCAUGCUACUAACUGAGCGGCGAUAUGCUAGCGAUAAAGGUGCUCUCCCUGCUGCAAUUCUUUUGACAUGCACUAUGCAUUAUGAUUUGCCCUGUUGAUACAGUGUCGACUCCAUAAGCAAUAAUUGUCUUCAAACACUCUAGAAUAUUUGACGGGUCUCGUCAAGGUCUUGAUCCAAGACCCUUGUCAGAGACCGAGAUAUUUGGAGUCGAGACCGAGACCACAACAUUCCGAGACCUCAAAAUCGUUGAGACCUGAAAAAAAUGGUCUCGAGACUAGUCUGAUUUCUGUCAAAUAAAAAUGUUGGUUAGGUUAUAGUCAACUGAUAAUGUGUGUGGCUAACUACCGCCAUCUGGCAGAAAGUCUGCGUUCCCUCUGGGGAUACAUUUUUCGGGUUCCCCAAGGGCUAUCCACAACAACUCCCCCUUCCCAGCUACUGCUAGUAUCAAUCUUUUGGGCCUCGGGAGGCUCAACACUCAGUCGUUCCUUUUGACUAGUAGGCAUGGCCGCUGGAACCUCAAACACUGGUUCUCCAACCAAAGGUUCUUCAUUUAUCAUCAUUAUUAUUUUCAUCGUCAUCAACGGAAUCAGAAACUUCAACUGAUUCUGCCAACACUCGCUGCUCAACCACUAGGCUCAUACUUCCAUGGUCUAGGUCGUCACCAGUGUAAGUCUUGAGCCUAUCUCCGUGGACUACAGAAGCCCUACUGCCAGUCUUCAUCUGCAUUUGGUAGGUAACAUCAGAGAGUCAUUCCCCGGCCAAUACUAUCGCACCAUUGAUUUGGCCAAAGUCUUGUUAACACCCAGAUGUUCACUUGUCUGACCACCGUGUAGCUCGUGAAGUACUACCUCUCUCAAUUUAUCAGGCAGUACAUAGCACCAUCUAAUCUUUUCAUCAUCGGACUCCCAACUUCUAUACAGUACACCAUCCUGCACCUCCUGCAGAUUCCAUAAGGACCAGAGGGUCCUGUGCGCUGAGGAAGCGGUUGACACAGUCUCCCAACUUGGACGGCUGCCCGGCUCGUUACUGAAGCUUGAGUGGACUUCAUUUAGAAGGCGAUCUAGCACAGGAUAGUACAACCUGAUACAGUUCUCUUUCUUGCUGGAGAUGUUCUCCUCUUGACCCACUGUCUCUUGGACAAUUCUAUCAGCUAGGUGGGAUUGAUAUACAGUUGCUAUGCUUCUGUAGCCCCACAAGUAUUUUAGCCACCAAAACUAAUAUGUCUUGCAUUUUUUUCUUGUUCUUUGAUAGGACCGAGUAACUUUUUCCCUCUUGAAAUUCAUCGAGAGCCUGUUAUCAAAACUGCAAGAAGAGGACCAUUUGUUGUCAGAUGAGCUAAAACAGGAAGGUUGCUGACAGGUGAUGGCCAGCAUUCUUCACCAAUUGUCCUGGUUGUCCACGGCAUUUCUAAUGUCUGGGGUCCUAGGAUGGGCAUUCAAGGAUCAACCGUGCUUAUGGUAGAGUACCUUCUCCCAUCCUGUCUGCCAUCAGCCUGGGACGCCAGAGCAGGUGCCCAUUGAGGGGAUUUUCCUGCUCUAACCAAGGAGACCUUGCACUUGAUGCUGGAAUGCCCUGAAACUGCACCACUUUGUGAUGACAUCGGACAUUACAGAAACUACAUGUACAUCCAAAGUUUCUUGAGUCUUUUUAGAAUGCACUACACGAAGGCUAUUAAUGGAAUAAAUAUUAUAUGGGCAAUUCCAUGCUGUUGGAGACACAAGACAAAACAUAACUUAGCAUUUUUAAAACAUAAAUAGUUCUGUUGCGUGUGUCCACUGUUUUGUGAGUUAUGGGGCACCAUCGCAUCAGAGUCUGCAGUAGCCUUGGUCAAGGCGUUCGUCAUUAUUCGUCCGUGCGCAGUAAACGAUCUGUGGAAUAUCCUCGCUAUGCAGUGCGUUAAAAAUACAGCCCCAACAGCGACCUCAUGCGGCCACUUUAUUUAUGCAAAUCUUUGGACCCAAAAGAAUACCUCAGUCCAAUCGUCCAUGUCAGGUUUUGGGGGUGGUGCUCAUUAUGCUAAUAGCCUAAGAUGACCUAAAGUCAUUUUCAUGUUGGUUGAUCGCUGUGUGGAAACUUGCAUAUAGUUAGUGAGCGAUACACAUGUUGUAUGCAAAUCUUUGGACCGAGAAGAACGCCUCAGUCCAAUCGUCCAUGUCAGGUUUUGGGGGUGGUGCUCAUUAUACUAAUAGCCUAAGAUGACCUUAAAUGUUGUUUUUGUAUUGGUUGAUCGUUGCGUGGAAACUCGCAUAUAGUUCGCGAGCGAUGCACAUGUUGUAUGUCGAUGUCUAACAUUACACACAGCACCAAUGCACAAAAAAGUGUUGUUUCUGAAACGUCUGCAAAGGGCGAAUAGCUGCAAAUGAUUUGAUGACAUCAAGAUUUAGCAAGGUGUGAUUGGACACUCCACAUAGUAGCCCCGCCUACACUUAUCUGUAUUCGCAUAUAAUGUCCUGAUGACUUAUAUGGACUUUUGAAUAAGUUUUUUGUUGUAUUUUUUCAGUACUAUUUUUCUCUCAAUUUUUGUUACAGUGUAAGUUUUGAGGGCGUCUUUGUGAAUAUGGGUAUUUUGUUUUUACGCAUGAAGCUCUCUAACUAAUGUCAGUCAUUAUGGAAUUGCCCAUUUACUUGGUAAAAUUGUACAGUUUCGGGUUUCCAAAUUAGUUACUGGGCCCUAUUGUAUUGCUGUUUAUUUGUGUAUUUUAAUAUUAUUUGUGAAUUUAUUAUUAAUGUUAUUAAGUGAUGUGGUUGUACAUUUUAAUGAAUAUUCAUAAAUAUCUAAGACAGUUUACCCAUUGCCAUUGGUCGAGAGAUUGUCACAUUGCUGGUCUGAAACGGUUGUGGUUGUACAUUUUAAUGAAUAUUCAUAAAUAUCUAAGACAGUUUACCCAUUGCCAUUGGUCGAGAGCUUGUCACAUUUGCUGGUCUGAAACGGCUGAAAAAGACAUGGCUGGCUGGUGUUAGACACUUUCAAGUGUCACAUGAACAAUUUUGACUCCUGUCAAAUCCAGUACCUUUACCAUUUCAUUGGGUGAACGUUCACAAUCCUCACACGUAGGCAUGUGCAAAAGUAAGUAUUUCAAGUCCUAAAUUCACAAAGCACUUGCACAGCUGCAAUUGCGCAACAUCGUGCAGAACGGGCGCGCCAGUCAUCAUAAAAUGAAUUGUUUAUGUCUGACUCGCGAGCUGGACACUCCAUUAUAUAGCUAGAGGGGUGUUUGGAAAAACAUGAAGUGAAACUGUGGAACAAUAUCUUUGGAAUUUGUUACAUUUUGACCUGUUUUGACUUUUGGACUAAAAAUGUUGGUUUUAUGACGGAAGAGAUAUAUAUGAAUGGGAAUAAACAUGUGCUUGGUUGGUAUUAAACACUAUGCUUUUAUAUAGGACCGGUUGGAGUCUGGAUGCUGAUAAUUACCUUUGGCUCAGG